CAAUGCUGCGGACAGUCCAGAUCUGUGAAACAUGUCAAUGGCUGGAAGAAAUGACCAAUUAGAAUGGACAUUUUACUGGAGUGAUUUUUAUAUUGCCCACACCUGUUACUUGCCCCCAGGUAUCUGCUGAUAUUGAAUGGAAUCCAUGCGGCCCCCCAACUAUAACAAGACUCCCAGUAGCGGCACUGGUCACAAAGUCUACACCUUGAUGGAACCUCCCAAUUUGCAGGUAGCAACCAUGUCUUGGAACACUAUGUUUUGACACCAUGCACAACACCCCUUGUUAUAACCAAAUAACUCCCACCGCACCUAAAACCGUAGUCUACCACAGUUUGAGGUCAGGUGGAAAACCGCAUACAGGGCAAAAAGGAGCCGACCAGAGUCAGCGUUUCACUUCAGUCAGCUCAUUGAAAUUACACACGGGCGGUCACGUAUUGGUAAAAGCGUGAUGUGAACCCAGCCUUAUUCUCUCAAAUUCCUUCUUUCUGUUGCUCACUGGUUGUUGACACCCUCACUCCGCAUGACUACUUCCUCCCUGUUCUGCUGGGUCUUUUCAUCCAAUCAGUGCAGGCUGCCCUGUAACUGCCUCCUGUUUCCAUGCUGCAGUCUGAUAGGACAGGAGUGAGCACCAACAAGUGUCAUUCCCACCCUCACUCAGAUGUUACGUUCAAGCACUGCCCUCCUCUUUGUUGGGGGCCGCUGGCGCAGAA